rnacentral:ncRNA from 1 species
CGAAGGUAUCCCUGCCGUGGCAUCGAUGGCGGCAGGGAUUUAAACGGGAAUCCGGUGAAGGCGCCUUGCGCGCCCAUUCCGGAGCUGCCCCGCAGCGGUGAAUGGAAACGAAUCCUGCCAACAGCACUGGGCUCGCGCUUGGGAAGCGGCAGGUAGUAGGUGGGCCAGCCGGCCCGUGUCCAUCAGCCCGAAUACCGGCCCCGGCCGGGGGACACGA